rnacentral:lncRNA from 1 species
AAUUUUUUGGCGUAAACACUAUUUUUUUUUUUCUUUUUUGGUCUUUUUGCCUUUUCUAGGGCCGCUCCCGCCGCAUAUGGAGGUUCCCAGGCUAGGGUUCGAAUCGCAGCGGUAGCCACCGGCCUACGCCACAGCCACAGCAAUGGUGGAUCCAAGCCGCAUCUGCAACCUACACCACAGCUCACGGCAACGUCGGAUCCCUAACCCACUGAGCAAGGCCAGGGAUCGAACCCCCAACCUCAUGGUUCCUAGUUGGGUUCGUUAACCACUGCGCCACGACGGGAACUGCUGGAGUCAACACUGCUAAAACUCGCUUGGGGAAGAAAAAGAAGUGUGAGGCUCAAAUGCUUGUCUCAACAGAAUCAACUUCUACAGUAAAAUGCACAUUUCCAAAGGGAAAUACCUGAGCCAAACUAAACUGACAAGGCGUGUUUGCGUAAAUGUAAAAGGAACAUUUUCAUGGUCUAUUUUUAACUUUUGAUGCACAAUCAACUGCUAAAGGCUAUUUUGGGUGGUCGGAACUGUGGCUUUGAAGACCCUGUAUUUUGCUUUAUCAGUCAGAUCUGAAAAGAGAAGCUGCGUUAUCGUCAGAUGCUGGAUGAAUGGGUUUUGCUCAUUGAUGAGAUUAUGCUAUGGUGAUUUUACAAGCAUAAGUGGAAGGAGGCCAGGGACACAGGCUGCUGAAGUGGCCUAGAAAAGUCAGGAAGCAGUCGUGCAGAUUGUGGGGAAGCCCAGGACGAGAAGACUGUCUGGCCUCGGGGCUGGAACUCAGAAAAUGUCCAGCGCUCAUAGCCUUCAGAAAGACAGGUGAUAGGAAGCCCUGGAGUUCAAGGCGAAGCUGCUCGGAGGGGGAAGGGCAGAAAGAAAGUCACCAGAAGGCAGUCAAAAGGUCAAAAGUGGUGGUGUCUUCACAGCCUUUCAGAGUCAAAAGGGUCGAAGAUGGAACGCAGGUAUUCACGCAACAAAGAAGGACUGAGGCUUGUCAACCUCUCCGGCAGAACCUCAUCGACGUAUUAGGCACCCAUUCGCACUGGGCACUGGGGACAAAUCGGUGACAAGGGACGUUAUCAUGGAGCGUCCAAGUCUCGUGGGAGAGGCAAAUCAUCAGAU